rnacentral:rRNA from 1 species
AUUGAACGCUGGCGGCAGGCCUAACACAUGCAAGUCGAGCGGAUGAAGGGAGCUUGCUCCUGGAUUCAGCGUCGGACGGGUGAGUAAUGCCUAGGAAUCUUCCUGCUAGUGGGGGCUAACUUCCGGAAACGGGUGCUAAUACCACAUACGUCCUGAUGGAGAAUGAGGGGGAUCUUCGGACCUCACGCUAUCAGAUGAGUCUAGGUCGGAUUAGCUAGCUGGUGGGGUAAUGGCCUUCCAAGGCGGUGACGCGUAACUGGUCUGAGAGGAUGAUCAGUCACACUGGAACUGAGACACGGUCCAGACUCCUACGGGAGGCAGCAGUGGGGAAUAUUGGACGAUGGACGAAAGCGUGAUCCAGCCAAGCCGCGGGUGUGAAGAAGGUCUGAGGAUGGUAGAGCGCUUUAAGAUGGGAGGAAGGGAAGUAAGUUAAUAACUUGCUGUUUUGACGUUACCAACAGAAUAAGCCCCGGCUAACUUCGUG